CCUGAGUCAACCUCAAGUCCCUUAACUGUCACUUCUGAUGCAGUUCCGCAUGAAUCAACCUCAACUAAUGCAACUGUCGUUCCUGGUCCAAGUCCGCCUGAACCAACGUCAAGUCCCGUAACUUUAGUUCCUGAUUCAAGUGC